GUUGUCAGCUUUCUGCUGUACGAAGCUCCCAGCUGAACUACAACGCCCACCAAUCUAAGGCAUGACAACAUGUACAGCACCAUUUUUACAGUAAAAAUAGAAUUCUUGAGAACAGGCGGUGAUGGAAGGACAGGUUGGGUUUAUGGAGCAAAACAGAUUAUUAUCUAAAAUAUAUUGCAUCCACCAUGUGUAGAACAUCAAACAGCAGAAACAUAGCAAAGCAUAAGCAAUGAUAGAUGAAUAAACUCGCUUUUAUUUUGUUAUAAAUUUUGGUUUCAGUAGUAGAAAAUGUAUAGUAUAAAGUAGUAUAAUAUUAUUUUACUCUUCACAUUCUGGUUCAAAAGAUUAUUUUAUCAUUGCACUGUUCCAGUGUAGCUAGAUCAUUAAAUAAUAUCUUGCAAACUGAUUUUAAGUAUUUUUGCAAAUUAAAUAGAUGAUACAUAUGGUAUUUAAAAGCAACAGUAAGGGCAUGAGGACAUCCAGCGUCAAUCAAAUCCCCAUAGGAAAGCAAAUCCCCAUAGGGAAUCCUAAUGCGAGCAUGACACUUGUCGCGAAUGCGCAUUAGGUCUCCCUCUCCGGAAAACGGCUUUGUUUUUCAGGAACUAUAGAAUCCAUUUUUUAUUAUUAUUAUUAUUAUUGUCAUUUAUAUAGCGCCAACAGAUUCCGUAGCACUUUACAAUAUAAUAAGAGGGGGGAUUUAGCUAUAAAUUGGACAAUUACAAGAAAACUUACAGGAACGAUAGAUUGAAGAGGACCCUGCUCAAAGGAGCUUACAGUCUAUAGGAGGUGGGAUGUAAAACACAUAAGGACAGGAGGUAGCAAUCAAACAAGGUGGAGUGAAGCAGAGCUGGAGGAGAGAGUAAAGCACUGCCCUAUAGGAGAGAGCAAGAGACAGGUAUGUGAGGUAGAGGUUGCUCUGGGAGGCCAUAAGCUUUCCUAAAGAGAUGGGUUUUAAGGCAUGACUUAAACGAUUCAAGACUAGAGGAGAGUCUGAUGGCGUUAGGCAGACUGUUCCACCAGUCAAUAAAGCCAAACUGGCAAGGGUCUCUAAGGGAAGUAAAAGUGAAUUUAAGGAGAAUUUAAUAUUUAAGGCGAAAGUAGACGAACUGGAAGCAUAGCUUACUAGAACUUUUUUUCCGGUUUGGCUAUUUUGGCCUUAAAAUUAAAAAUUACUUUAAUUUCUCAACAAUUCUCAUUUUAGAGAAUAAACCUGUUAGUCACCAUUCUGUCAGCUGUGUACGUGAUGGUCCAAUAAACCUGCCUUACCUUUGAACACAGUGAGUGCCUGAAGCCUUUUCUUGGAAGUAUUUGUCCAGCUGUCAUUUUAAAGAUAUUUAUUGUACAUUUUUACUUUAACUAGAUGUGAUUAAAGUGUCUCGGUCUCGAUGUCAUUGUAAAAAUGAUCCCUUGUCAUUAUAUGUGAAUUGUGAACAUGAAAAAUUAAUAAUAAAAAAAAUAUAUGAUUUCCCAUUCCGUAUGCCCAUUGUAUUUUCAUGAUUAUACUCGACUCUUUGCCAUUUUUAUUUAUAUUCAUUUUAUUUUCCUCCUCGCACUGGAUCUGAACACCUGCGAGCAAUUUUGUUAUGUGUGAUUAUUUUGACUGAUGAAUUGUGGGUAAACUAAUUUAGCAACUAAUUUGGAAAUUUGUUUUCGAUAAGCCCACUGCCAACAUUUCGCAUUGCCCAUAAGAAAGAGUAGCCCAUGAAUUUAAAAAAAAACAAAAAAAAACAAAGAGGAUACAGGACAAGAAAAGAAUUUAAAGCAAAACUUUAAACAGAGCCAGACUGUUAACAGAGCUGCUUUAACGUAAAAGUUCUAAAAACUAUUGCAUUUAAUGCUAGAACAUUUCAGGCAGUGCGACUUUUCUAGACUCCAAAAACAAAUAACAGGUGUCUGCCAAAAUAUGUCCUCAAAUCAGGGCCAGAUUAACAGCACAGUAGGCCUGGUGCUGACAAUUAUGACGGGCCUAAUUAAAGAAUCAUAUCGACCAAAAACAGUAAAACACUCCCAAGCGUCAUGUAUCUGAUGGAGAUGGUGCUGGAGAGAAAGAAAACAGCAGCUAUGAAUAAAUUGAAUCAAUGAAUCUCUAUGAGGAAAGUUCAGUGUCUGCAUGCAGAGGGAGGAGAUACUGAAUGUUUGGAUGCAUUUUAGGCAGCCAUGACCCAGGAAGGAUCUCUAACAGCCAUCCAAGGAGUGGCCAGUGAAGUUAUCACUAGGCUGUAAUGCAAACACUGCAUUUUCUCUGAAAAGACAGUGUUUCUAGCAAAAAGCCUGAAAGUAAUGAUUCUACUAACCAGAACAAAUUCAAUAAGCUGUAGUUGUUCUUGUGACUAUAGUGUCCCUUUAACUAUAUUCAUUGUCAGCCAGUCCACACAAGUUUUGUUCCCAUACAUCCCAUUUAAGUUUCCAUACUUAAGUAAGAGUAUGUGAAAAGUAGUUAGGGUUGCCACCUUUCUUGGAAAAACAUACCGGCCUUACUAAUUUGAAUAAUUAAAUAUGUAUGUGUGACAUUACAUGAUGUAAAUCACAAGUAGUGACAUAAGAGAAAUGCUGUAAAAUCACCCAAAAACUACUUAGUUUGAUUAUGCUGUAUAGAUGGAUUCCUCCCAGUGCCCCCAUGUUUCCCAGUGCCCACAUGUGUCGAUUACUCCAGGUCUCAGAAUUCCUAUGUAUCACAGUGUCUCAAUGCCCCAUGUCUCCCUGUGUCCUCUAAUAUUCCCAUGUGUCUAUGUCCCCAUGUAUGUGUCACUAGGACACUAGGAAGACGGGGAGACCUGGGGACACGGGGAGACCUAGGGACACAGAGACACCAAUGACACUGGGAAACUAGGGGACACUGGCUGGGAUACAUGCGGACACUGGGAAAAUAGGGGACACUUGAAGACAUGGGGACACAGACACUAGAGACACUGGCUGGGGGACAUGGGGACAUUGAGACAUGGGGGCACUGGGAGACAUGGGGACACUGAGACACCACGGCCACAGACACUGCUUGGAGACAUGGGGACACUGAGACACUUGAGGCACUGGGAGACAUGGAGGCACGAGGAGACAUGGGGACAGUGAGACACUGGGAGAAUAGGGGGCACUGAGACACCAGGGACACUGGCUGGGAGACAUGGGGACACUGGGAGACAUGGGGACACUGUGUCCCCAUGUGUCUGUGUCGUAAUGUCUCCCAAUGUCCCUAAGUGUCUCAGUGUCUGCCAUAAUAUCUCCCAGUAUCCCUUAUUGUCUCAGUGUAUGUCUCCUUGCAGCCUUUCCCCCAUCCCUUACUUCCCUGAGCUGCAGGCUGUUUCUGCAGGGUGGGAGUUGCUGUCUGGACUCUCUGUAGCUGCACCCCUGCAGAUCAGUGAGUAUAGAUAGGCAGGGAGGGAUAUGCUGGAACUUCCUAUCCCUGCCUGUCUCCACACACCCCUACUGGCCAGUGCUGGUAUAGCAUAGUAAUCUCUUGUUUAUACUGAGAAAAAUACCAGCAUUUGUAUUGCCAAUAUCACUGCAAUAUUGGCACCAGCCAGGCAGCCUCAGAUACUGGCUGUGCCAAUAAAAUAAAAGCUAGGUGGAAUCCCCAAGAGUAGUGUGUGAAAAUUUUUUUUAUAUAUAUAUAUAUAUAUAUAUAUAUAUAUAUAUAUUUUUUUUUUAAAUCAAUGGGCCUAUUCCAUGGGCCUGGGCCUGGGCCUGGAGCUGCCGCGCCAUCAGCCCCUAUGUUAAUUUGGCCCUGCCUCAAAUAAUUAUUAAAUGUCAAGUGAUAUCCAAACUCAGUUUUUGAAAGUAAACCAUUAAAGCCAAUAUUCACAGAUGACUUUCCAGUGGAUUGAUAUUAUUCAUCGUUGACCCGUAGUGCAGUCAUGAAGACACCAGAAGUUUUCAGAAUGUCCGGUGUGGUCGUUGGAAGAAAAGAAUGGGCGCCUGUAUUUUUUGUGACUAACACUUCCAAUAUAUUCCCACAUCGCCAGACUAUGGGAGCUGAAAUAAAGUGAAAAAUAGCAGACUCACUCCAGCUUUUCUCAUAUAUCACGGAUGUAGGUGUAGGUUCCCAUUGUUGUGCAAGAGAUGAACCUGUUACAGCUGAGAUAAACCAGUUAGAGCCCAUAAACGGCCAUUUAUGUAAAAACUGCAUCAUAGUGCAAUGUUUACUGGUAUUGUUGUCUAUUUAAAUCUUAGUACACGUGGAUAAUGGUAUCAUGUUUUUAAGGUUAUAAGAGAUAUUUGUGAAAUUAUUUAAUCAGUCUUGCAGUCCAGAAAAUGAAUCCUUAACUCCUCAUAAACUUCAUGAAAGGAUUUUCUAAAUAUUGAAUAGUAUUUGGGAGAACAUAAUUGGCAAACAGGUUAAACUAUGAACUAUUCCAUUCCCUCCGAGUUUCAGAAUGUUAUAUAUCACUCCUUGCGGAUCCCUUUAUCAAAAUUUUGACUUGUUGACUUGACAUUCGGUAAUUAAGUAGGGUAAUGUGGAAAUUCAUUUUUUUUUCCAAGUUUGCGUUUGUGCCUUGAGUAUCAUUACAUUUAAAGAAACCCAGCUGUGUUGACAGCAUACAUCUGAAUUCCAAUUUGUUUGUUUUUUUCCACCGUCAAUAUAUGAAUUAAAAUUCUCAGAUGGGGGACUUUUCAUUCAAAGUGUGUUCUUCCAAUCUUUUCGUUGAGGUAUGUUCAUCCAUUUUUUUCUUGUCUUUAAUGCGUAACAAACAGUAAACGACAAUAAAUAAUAUCAAGGCUCCGAUUUUAAAGCAAAUUUGAAUCCCUAUAAAUCUGAAAAAAAGAAAUUUAUAAAAUAUUACACUUAUGCUACAUAAUACAUAUUUAUCAAAUAAAAAGAGAAACGUGGACUAUCACGUGUUUGCCAGUCAUCUUUUUCCGUGAUUUCUUG
rnacentral:lncRNA from 1 species